AACAUUGCGCAAAGUUCUUUACCCUCCACCGAGCGUUUCUAAAUAGAAAACUAUUGCCAUUGAGUGGAUUAUUGAGCCGAACGUCCUCUUUCUUCCCAUCCAAAAUGCAUUUAACUUCAUCAGUACUGGAGGAACAUUCUCGGCUCUUAACAUCCUGAGAGCACUUUGCCCCCCACCGCACCUUUCUAAAUAGGAAACUAUUGCCACCAAGCGGAUCAUCCAGCUGAAUAUUCUCUUUCUUCCCAUCCAAAAUGGAUUUAACUUCAUGGGUACUGGAGGAACAUUCUUGGCUCUUAGCAUCCUGAGAGCACUUUACCCUCCAUCGAGCAUUUCUAAAUAGGAAACUAUUGCCAUUGAGUGGAUUAUCGAGCCGAACGUCCUCUUUCUUCCCAUCCAAAAUGCAUUUAACUUCAUCAGUACUGGAGGAACAUUCUCGGCUCUUAACAUCCUGAGAGCACUUUGCCCCCCACCGCACCUUUCUAAAUAGGAAACUUUUAAAGCGGCUAUGACAUCAUUAAUGCUGAAGAAACAUCCACGGGCCUUAGCAUCAUGAACCAAAGCUUCCCAUAUAGAUUUACUUCUAGUCAGCGUUCUCUUGUUCCCCAAAAUCCAAAGAGAAUAUCUACGUAGAGGCAGC
rnacentral:lncRNA from 1 species